AUGAUAUAUGUGUUGAUGUAGGAACCCACACUUUAUGUCCUCAUCAUGUUCAUGAGCAUCCGUAUGAUUACGACUUGUUAAGCUUGCAUGUGUAUGUUGUGACUUGUUUUGCCUUAGCAAGUGAGAUCCGUGCCUCGAUUUGGAGCCUUGUGAU